AUUGAACGCUGGCGGCAUGCCUUACACAUGCAAGUCGAACGGUAACAGGUCUUCGGAUGCUGACGAGUGGCGAACGGGUGAGUAAUACAUCGGAACGUGCCCGCGAGUGGGGGAUAACGAGGCGAAAGCUUUGCUAAUACCGCAUACUAUCUCAGGAUGAAAGCAGGGGACCGCAAGGCCUUGCGCUCACGGAGCGGCCGAUGGCAGAUUAGGUAGUUGGUGGGAUAAAAGCUUACCAAGCCGACGAUCUGUAGCUGGUCUGGGAGGACGACCAGCCACACUGGGACUGAGACACGGCCCAGACUGCUACGGGAGGCAGCAGUGGGGAAUUUUGGACAAUGGGCGCAAGCCUGAUCCAGCCAUGCCGCGUGCAGGAUGAAGGCCUUCGGGUUGUAAACUGCUUUUGUACGGAACGAAAAGACUCCUUCUAAUAAAGGGGGUCCAUGACGGUACCGUAAGAAUAAGCACCGGCUAACUACGUGCCAGCCGCCGCCGUAACAC
rnacentral:rRNA from 1 species